rnacentral:rRNA from 1 species
AGAGUUUGAUCCUGGCUCAGAACGAACGCUGGCGGUAUGCCUAACACAUGCAAGUCGAACGCGAAAGCAGUCUUCGGACUGCCGGUAGAGUGGCGCACGGGUGAGUAACGCGUAGAUAAUCAACCCCGGGGACUGGGAUAACUUUUGGAAAACGAAAGCUAAUACCGGAUGACACCUUUCAUUUAAGUGAGAGGUUGAAAUGGUCCGCCGCCCUGGGACGAGUCUGCGUACCAUUAGCUAGUUGGUGGGGUAAUGGCCCACCAAGGCGACGAUGGUUAGCGGGUCUGAGAGGAUGAUCCGCCACACUGGAACUGAGACACGGUCCAGACUCCUACGGGAGGCAGCAGUGGGGAAUCUUGCGCAAUGGACGCAAGUCUGACGCAGCAAUACCGCGUGAGUGAAGAAGGCCUUAGGGUCGUAAAGCUCUUUUAUCGGGGAAGAUAAUGACGGUACCCGAGGAAUAAGCACCGGCUAACUACGUGCCAGCAGCCGCGGUAAUACGUAGGGUGCGAGCGUUGUUCGGAUUCACUGGGCGUAAAGGGCGUGUAGGCGGACUGUCCAGCCAAGGGUGAAAUCCCGGAGCUUAACUCCGGAACUGUUUCAUGAACUGCCGGACUAGAGAUGGUCAGAGGCGGGUGGAAUUCCAGGUGUAGAGGUGAAAUUCGUAGAGAUCUGGAGGAACACCGGCGGCGAAGGCGGCCUGCUGGGGCUUUUCUGACGCUGAGGCGCGAAAGCGUGGGGAGCAAACAGGAUUAGAUACCCUGGUAGUCCACGCUGUAAACGAUGAGCACUCGAUGUGCGGGGUGUACGACCCCUCGCGUGUCACAGCUAACGCAAUAAGUACUCCGCCUGGGGACUACGGUCGCAAGACUAAAACUCAAAGGAAUUGACGGGGGCCCGCACAAGCGGUGGAGGAUGUGGUUUAAUUCGACGCAACGCGAAGAACCUUACCUGGGUUUGACAUCCCGUGACAACUCCAGAGAUGGAGCCUUCCCUUCGGGGACUUGGUGACAGGUGCUGCAUGGCUGUCGUCAGCUCGUGUCGUGAGAUGUUGGGUUAAGUCCCGCAACGAGCGCAACCCUUGUUCUUAGUUGCCAGCGGAUAAUGCCGGGCACUCUAGGGAGACUGCCGGUGUUAAACCGGAGGAAGGUGGGGAUGACGUCAAGUCCUCAUGGCCUUUAUAUCCAGGGCUACACACGUCCUACAAUGGCGCCUACAAAGAGCUUCGAGCCUGCGAGGGUUAGCGAAUCUCAAAAAAGGCGUCUCAGUUCGGAUUGUACUCUGCAACUCGAGUGCAUGAAGGUGGAAUCGCUAGUAAUCGCAGAUCAGUAUGCUGCGGUGAAUACGUUCCCGGGCCUUGUACACACUGCCCGUCAAGCCAUGGGAGUUGGCUUUACUCGAAGCCAGUGGGCUAACCUUUUUGGAGGCAGCUGUCCACGGUGAGGCCAGCGACUGGGGUUAAGUCGUAACAAG